UCUGGUUGAUCCUGCCGGACCCGACUGCUAUCGGAUUGGGAUUUAGCCAUGUUAGUUGUGCGUUCCUUGGCUACAGGGGACGCAGCGUACGGCUCAGUAACACGUAGUCAACCUGCCCUGGAGACGUGGACAAACCCGGGAAACUGGGGCCUAUCCGCGAUAGAUGACCUCAUCUGGAAGGAGUGGUCGUCCAAAGGGCGGCACGGGUAUGCUCCGUGCCUUUCGCUCCAGGAUGGGACUGCGGCCGAUCAGGCUGUUGGCGGGGUAAUGGCCCACCAAACCUGUAACCGGUACGGGCCUUGAGAGAGGGGGCCCGGAGAUGGACACUGAGAGAAGGGUUCAGGUCCUACGGGGCGCAGCAGGCGCGAAACCUUCGCAAUGCGCGAAAGCGUGACGAGGUUAAUCCGAGUGGUCCCCGCUGAGGGGAUCUUUUGUCGACUGUAAAAAGACCGGUGAAUAAGGGGAGGGCAAGUCUGGUGUCAGCCGCCGCGGUAAUACCAGCUCCUCGAGUGGUCGGGGCGAUUAUUGGGCCUAAAGCAUCCGUAGCCGGUUCCGUAGGUCUUCUGUCAAAUCCAACGGCUCAACCGUUGGCCCGCAGAAGAUACCGCGGGACUAGGAGGCGGGAGAGGUGGGCGGUACUCCACGUGUAGGGGUAAAAUCCUUUGAUCCGUGGAAGACCACCAGUGGCGAAGGCGGCCCACCAGAACGCGCUCGACGGUGAGGGAUGAAAGCCGGGGGAGCGAACCGGAUUAGAUACCCGGGUAGUCCCAGCCGUAAACGAUGCAAGCUAGAUGAUUCGGUCGCAAAUCGCGAUCGAAGUGUCGCAGGGAAGCCGUUAAGCUUGCCGCCUGGGGAGUACGGUCGCAAGACUGAAACUUAAAGGAAUUGGCGGGGGAGCACCACAAGGGGUGAAGCCUGCGGUUCAAUUGGACUCAACGCCCGG
rnacentral:rRNA from 1 species